rnacentral:rRNA from 1 species
UACGUAGGGAGCAAGCGUUGUUCGGAUUUACUGGGCGUAAAGGGCGCGUAGGCGGCAUAUUAAGUCAUCUGUGAAAUCUCCGAGCUUAACUCGGAACUGUCAGCUGAUACUGAUGUGCUAGAGUGCGGAAGGGGCAAUCGGAAUUCUUGGUGUAGCGGUGAAAUGCGUAGAUAUCAAGAGGAACACCUGAGGUGAAGACGGGUUGCUGGGCCGACACUGACGCUGAGUGCGCGAAAGCCAGGGGAGCAAACGGGAUUAG